rnacentral:misc_RNA from 1 species
CUUGCAUUGAACAAAGAAGCUCUCUUUUAGGAGAGGCUUUAGCCAUGGCGGCCACCUGUUGUCGUCAUCAUCAGGUCCUCCAGCACCCAUGAUCCUCCUGUUUCUAGGCUUGAUAGCAGUUUCCUGAUUUUCGAUCGCCAGCUUGAAUGAGCUUAUAAGAAACAGAGCAAUCUGCUUCUAUUGAGUUAGGGUGUGUGUUCUAAGUCUAGU